GAUGAACGCUGGCGGCGUGCCUAAUACAUGCAAGUCGAGCGAAGCGGGGACGGGGGAGUAACACGUGGAAAACCUCCAAUAAGACUGGGAUAACUUAGGGAAAACGUAGAUAAACAGGAUAAUUAUAGAAGGAUCCGCGCUGCAUUAGCUAGUUGGUAGGGUAACGGCUUACCAAGGCAACGAUGCAUAGCCGACCUGAGAGGGUGAUCGGCCACACUGGAACGGAGCCACGGUCCAGACUCCUACGUGAGGCAGCAGUAGGGAAUCUUCCGCAAUGGGCGAAAGCCUGACGGAGCAACGCCGCGUGAGUGAUGAAGGUCUUCGGAUCGUAAAACUCUGUUAUUAGGGAAGCGGUACCUAAUCAGAAAGCCACGGCUAACUACGUGCCAGCAGCCGCGGUAAUUC
rnacentral:rRNA from 1 species